CAGCCGCCGCGGUAAUACGAAGGGGGCUAGCGUUGUUCGGAUUUACUGGGCGUAAAGCGCACGUAGGCGGACUUUUAAGUCAGGGGUGAAAUCCCGGGGCUCAACCCCGGAACUGCCUUUGAUACUGGAAGUCUUGAGUAUGGUAGAGGUGAGUGGAAUUCCGAGUGUAGAGGUGAAAUUCGUAGAUAUUCGGAGGAACACCAGUGGCGAAGGCGGCUCACUGGACCAUUACUGACGCUGAGGUGCGAAAGCGUGGGGAGCAAACAGGAUUAGAUACCCUUGUAGUCCCUGUCUCUUAUAU
rnacentral:rRNA from 1 species